rnacentral:sRNA from 1 species
AGACAUCCCUACAGCAACCUGGGCCUGGCGAUACACAGAGAAGCCAGAUGCAUGCAAGAAGACAAGGGCCAUGAGAGCAGACGAAGUGACCAGUCUAGGACAGAGACCCACGAUUGCCCCACAGUCCCAGGGAGAGUCUAGAGGAACCCUGACGAGGCUGGAAGUGGAGGCCACUUACUUCGCAUCACACUGUCCUCACGACAAGACUUCAGGCAGCACAUCUGUGUCUACUGCACACACCGAGCACUGGGUGUCUGACUCCAUGCCAAACCCCGGAUUAAGUAGGAUGAGGUCCUAAGAACCAGUGGCCCCGAGACUGGCAAUGCUACAGUAGUCAGCUAACGUAGCUGUCUGGGAACUCACCUGGGCACCCUGCUCUUCCUCCUGCACGAAAUAAAUGAACUCUGUCUCUGAA